AUUUCGCGCUGAGAGCUGGAUCACACUCGCAAGUCGAGCGGACAAGAAUAGCAACACACGCAAGUCAGCGUUGAACGCGUGAGUAAUGGUUAGGAAUCUGAGUUAUUAGUGGGGGACAACAUUCACAAAGGAGGGACUAACACCGGAAACGAAUGCUAAUACAAAGCAGGGGAUCUUCGGACCAUCCGCUAAUAGAUGAGCCUAAGUCAGAUGAGAUAGAUCGUGGGGUAAAGGCCUACCAAGGCAGAGAUAUGUAGCGGGUCUGAGAGGAUGAUCCGCCACACUGGGAGAGAGACACGGCCCAGACUCCUACGAGAGGCAGCCGUGGGGAAUAUUGGACAAUGGCAGCAAGCAAUAUCCAACCAUGGACCAAGAGUGAAGAAGGCCAUUUGGUUGCACAGCACGAUAAUCGUGGAAGAGGAAACUGGGAUCAAUACUGUAGAAUAAAGGACGUUACUCACCGAAUGAGCACCGGGUAAAUUUGUGCCCGCCGCCGCGGUAAUACAGAGGGUGCCAACGUUAAUCGGAUUUUAUGGGGGUAAAGGGGGGUUAGGGGGGUUUUUAAAUUGGAAGGGAAAUCCCCAAGGUUAAAUUCGGAAUUGCGUUGGAAACUGGGAAGCUAGAGUAUGGGAGAGGAUAGUGGAAUUCCAGGUGUAGAGGUGAAAUUCGUAGAGAUUUGGAGGAAUACCGAUGGGGAAGCCAGCCAUCUGGCCUAAUACUGACGCUGAGGUACGAAAGCAUGGGUAGCAAACAGG
rnacentral:rRNA from 1 species